rnacentral:rRNA from 1 species
UUCCGGUUGAUCCUGCCGGACCCGACUGCUAUUUGGGUGAGGAUAAACCAUGCGAGUUGAAUGGGAUACCUAAAUAUCCCAUAGCAAACUGCUCAGUAACACAUGAUCAACUUACCCUAUGGAGAAAAAUAACCUCGGGAAACUGAGGAUAAUGUUUCAUAGUUGAAUAGGCUUGGAAAAGUUUUUCAAUGAAAGGGAUAAGAAAGAUGGUUCUUAUUUGCCAUAGGAUAGGAUCGUGGUCGAUUAUGGUUGUUGGUGAGGUAACGGCUCACCAAGCCGAUAAUCGAUAGGGGCCGUGAGAGCGGGAGCCCCGAGAUGGGUACUGAGACAACGACCCAGGCCUUACGAGGCGCAGCGGGUGCGGAACCUCCGCAAUACACGAAAGUGUGACGGGGUUACCCAAAGUGUUCAUUAUUGAGCUGUGGUAGGUGAGUAAUGUCCCCUACUAGAAAGGAGAGGGCAAGGCUGGUGCCAGCCGCCGCGGUAAAACCAGCUCUUCAAGUGGUCGGGAUGAUUAUUGGGCUUAAAGUGUCCGUAGCCGGUUUAGUAAGUUCCUGGUAAAGUCGGGUAGCUUAACUAUCCGUAUGCUAGGAAUACUGCUAUACUAGAGGGCGGGAGAGGUCUGAGGUACUAUAGGGGUAGGGGUGAAAUCCUAUAAUCCUUAUAGGACCACCAGUGGCGAAAGCGUCAGACUGGAACGCGCCUGACGGUGAGGGACGAAAGCCAGGGGAGCGAACCGGAUUAGAUACCCGGGUAGUCCUGGCCGUAAACGAUGCAUACUAGUGAUGGCACGGCCAUGAGCCGUGUCAGUGCCGUAGGGAAACCGUUAAGUGUGCCGCCUGGGAAGUACGGUCGCAAGGCUAAAACUUAAAGGAAUUGGCGGGGGAGCACCACAAGGGGUGAAGCCUGCGGUUCAAUUGGAGUCAACGCCGGA